AUGGCGAGCAAGGCGGUCACCAUCGGCGAUCUGAUCCACCGCGUCGCCUCCUCCUGCCUCUCCAACCGCUUCCCGGGCAACUACACCCUCGACGGCUCCGACCUCGACGACGACGACGACGACGACGACCCCUUCGCCGACUUCGGGGACGCCGCCGACGCCGACGCCGAGGACGACCAAUGCCCGCGCCCCACGGUCCGGCCGGAGGAGGGGGACGAGGAGGCCCGGAGGCUCAGGAUCUGGGAGGAGGCGGAGCAGGAGAAGAGGAUGGCCAAGAAUGCCGCGGCGGCCGAGGAGGCGAAGGAGGCCAUGAAGGUGGAGGGGGCCGAGCGGGCGGGCGACGCGGAGUCCCUCAUGGCGGAGGUGUUCGACGCGGUCUCCGGGGUGCGGCGCGCGUACGCGGCGCUGCAGGGCGCGCACUGCCCCUGGGACCCCGACCGGAUGCGCGCCGCCGACGCGGGCGUCGUCGCCGAGCUCCGCCACCUCGCGCGCCUCCGCGACCGCUUCCGCCGCGCCGCCGCCAGCCCCGGCGGCCGCAUCCCGCGCCCCAGCCCCUCCGCGCCGCCGCUCCGCGAGGCCGUCGCGCCCUACGAGGCCGCGCUCGACGACCUCCGCCGCCAGCUCCAGGGCAAGCAGGCCGAGGUGGACGGGCUCAAGGAGAAGCUCGCGGCCGCCGCAACAAACCGCCGCAACGCGCGCCUCCACCCCUCCAAGAAGCACCACCACCACAUCCUCCUCGCCGCGCCCGCCGCGGAGGCCGGCGCGCCGACGGCGGAGCUGUUCGUCGCAUGCGCCGAGCAGGCCCGCGCGGCGACGCGGGCGUUCGCGGCGCACCUGCUCCACCUGCUCCGCGCGGCGGGGCUGGACCCGGCGGCGGCCACGCGGUCCGUCACCAAGAUCCCGGUGUCCUCCCCGCAGCUGGCCAAGCACGCGCUGGAGGCGCACGCGACGGCCGUCCUGCUGGGCGGCUUCGAGCACGAGUCCUUCUACCUGGACGGGUCCCUCUCCUCCCUCCUCGACCCUGCAGCCUUCCGGCGGGAGCGGUACGCGCAGUACCGCGACAUGCGCGGCAUGGACCCGGGGGAGCUCCUGGGCGUGCUCCCGACGUGCGCGUUCGGGCGGUACGCCGGCAGCAAGUUCGCGUCCCUGCUGCCGCCGCGCGUGGAGGAGGCCGUGCUGGGCGGCGAGGAGCACAAGAAGGCGGUGGGCGCGGGCGCGCACCCGCGGACGCCGUUCUACGGGGAGUUCCUGCGGGCGGCCAAGGCGGUGUGGCUGCUGCACCUGCUGGCGUUCGCGCUGGAGCCGCCGCCCAGCCACUUCGAGGCCGGGCGCGGGGCCGAGUUCCACCCGGAGUACAUGGAGAGCGUGGCCGGGUCAGCUCCCCGCGGCGGCGGCAUGGUGGUGGGGUUCGCGGUGGCGCCGGGGUUCAAGCUGUGCAACGCCGCCGUGGUGCGCGCCCGGGUGUACCUGGUGCCCCGCGGCAGCCGAGAGUGA
rnacentral:rRNA from 1 species